rnacentral:rRNA from 1 species
AUUGCCUCAGUAACGGCGAGUGAAGCGGCAAGAGCUCAGAUUUGAAAUCCGGCAUGCUAUGUGUGCCCGAGUUGUAAUCUGGAGAGAGGUCUUCGGCUUAGGCAUCGGUCAAGAUUCCUUGGAAUAGGAUGACACAGAGGGUGAGAAUCCCGUACCUGGCUGACCGCCAACGCCAUGUGAGGCUUCUUCGACGAGUCGAGUUGUUUGGGAAUGCAGCUCUAAAUGGGUGGUAAAUUCCAUCUAAAGCUAAAUAUCUGCGAGAGACCGAUAGCGCACAAGUAGAGUGAUCGAAAGAUGAAAAGCACUUUGAAAAGAGAGUUAAAAAGUACGUGAAAUUGUUGAAAGGGAAGCGCUUGCCAUCAGAAUUGGGGUCGGCCGAUCAGCAUUCCUUCUGGUUUGUGCACUCGGCCGGCAUUCCAUGCCAGCACCAGUUGCGGCGGCAUGAUAAAGACGGCGGGAAUGUGGCUCCUCUCGGGGAGUGUUAUAGACCGCUGUGCCAUGAUGCCUGCUUCGUGACUGAGGACCGCGCCCUAGGCUUGGGUGCUGGCUUAAUGGUUGUAAGCGACCCGUCUUGAAACACGGACCAAGGAGUCUAACAUCUAUGCGAGUGUUUGGGUGUUCAAAACCCAUGACGCGAAAUGAAAGUGAACGGAAGUGAGAGCCCGCAAGGGUGCAUCAUUGACCGAUCCUGAUGUCUUC